CGGCCGCUCCGCGUUAGGAGCGCUAGGCUCCGCCGUGUGGCCGCCGCCGCCGCCGCUGCCAUGUCCCCGGGGAAGCCCGGGGCGGGCGGAGCGGGGACUAGGCGGACCGGCUGGCGGAGAAGGAGGCGGAGGCGUCGGCUGGAGGCGGAGACCAGGGCGCCCGGCUUCGGGCACCGGCGGGGCGCGUCCCGGGCACGUUCCAGGGCGCGCAGGGCAUGAAGCCCGCGGCGCGGGAGACGCGGACACCCCCGCGCUCGCCCGGGCUCCGCUGGGCGCUGCUGCCGCUGCUGCUGUUGCUACGCCAGGGCCAGGUAAGCCUUCGAGUGGGCCUGGGCGUGUGGUGGGAGGACGCGGGCCGAAUUGGCAUCGCCUGCACCUGCCCGAGUGUCACCCGCUCCAGGAAUACCCGGCGAGGGUCUAAGAGAUCGUGGUCUUGAGAGCCUUCCUCCUGGAGGGGGCUGGCAGGGAUCUUGGCCAGCCUCCCGCUCCCGCCACCAAGCCCCUUCCCUGACUACCGGGUGCCAUGGGAAGGGCGAGAUUCCGGGGUCCCUAGGGUGUUCCCCGCCGUGUCCGUUGACUCUUCCAUGGAAGCUCUUGCAUGGGCUGCAGGCGGCGUUGGCCCGGCCUUUCCCGGAGCUGGUCAGGUCUGGCCAGCGCGGGCCCUGCUCGCGCGCCCGAAGCGGCCGGAGGGGGCGUGUUUGCGGAGGGCUGUGGAUGGGGAGCAGGGCCUGCCUGGCUGAGCCAAGGCCGACCUACGACCUGGCCUGGAGGGGCCCGGAGAGCUUGGGCGGAAGGGCAGUGGCGGUCGCCGAGUGCUUGGGGACAGGCCCUGGCGUUGGGCAGUCGGGCGGUGGGCGAAGCGCCGGACCUCAGAAUGGAGGGUGCUGUUUGUGGGGAAAGUUCCCAGUCUUGCCAAGGUGGCCGCUCAAAGGGUCCCUUGAGGCUGCUGGCCCUGUUCUCAUCAUCGCUCCUGAGAUGGUGCUGGCUUUUCUGGGUGUGUAUUGGUGCUUUGUGGGCGCUAGCUAACCCCCUCCCCUCCAGACCUUUUUUUUUUUUUUUUUUUCUUGCUUCACUUUUGUUCAAUAAUGGUGGGACUCGAAUUUUGGAUCUUUUCUCUCUGUGGUAUUUCGUGGCAGGAGGUGUGAUGCAAGGCAGCCUGGGGACAUUCCCAUUUCGCAGAUAGGGAACUGAGGGAGAGAAGUGAAAGAGUGGAAUCACCCAGCUGGUGUUGCGGGAGCUGAGCAAGCGAGUUCUGCCUCACAGCCUUCUGGGAACUGGCUGUGGUCUUGAACCCUGCAGGCUGCAGAAACCCUACCAGUGUGGUAUUAACGUGGAAACACAAUGAUUCAGCCACUUCAGAAUAUAAGAUAAAUGAGGGAAACACGCUGCGGUAUACUGUUAAAAACCAGACAUCAUUUAACAUCACAGGCUUAAGCCCAGCUACUUCCUACAAAUUCUCCAUCACCUUGGGAACAGUCAAUGAGACCUCAGGAAAGCCCACAUACAAAAAUAUCACAACAGAGCCCUGGCCAGUGUCGGAUCUCCAAGUCGCCUACAUCGGUGUGACACAGGCUCUUCUCGCCUGGAGCAAUGCAAACGGCACCGCUUCUUACCGGAUGCAGAUUGUAGAGCUGACCACAAAUUCAUCAGGUGGUAUUUCAGAUCUGAAGCCGGGGACCCAUAAGAGCUUGGCUGUCCAAGGAUCGAAUGAGACCCAGCAUGACUUAUGGGUCACAGAAGGCGUCUCGGAUGCCAAUGGCACCGAGGGAAGCCCAGUGGCCAACAUAUCCCAAC
rnacentral:lncRNA from 1 species